CGGGCCAUGGGAUAACGGUAGUCCGCACCCUUGGGGUGGGUGUAGCGGGGGUUCAAUUCCCCCUGGCCCGACUA
rnacentral:tRNA from 2 species